GGGAGGCAGCAGUGGGGAAUAUUGGACAAUGGGGGCAACCCUGAUCCAGCCAUGCCGCGUGUGUGAAGAAGGCCUUUUGGUUGUAAAGCACUUUAAGCAGUGAAGAAGACCAUACGGUUAAUACCCGUAUGCGAUGACAUUAGCUGCAGAAUAAGCACCGGCUAACUCUGUGCCAGCAGCCGCGGUAAUACAGAGGGUGCAAGCGUUAAUCGGAAUUACUGGGCGUAAAGCGAGCGUAGGUGGCUUGAUAAGUCAGAUGUGAAAUUCCCGGGCUUAACCUGGGAACUGCAUCUGAUACUGUUAGGCUAGAAUAGGUGAGAGGAAGGUAGAAUUCCAGGUGUAGCGGUGAAAUGCGUAGAGAUCUGGAGGAAUACCGAUGGCGAAGGCAGCCUUCUGGCAUCAUAUCGACACUGAGGUUCGAAAGCGUGGGUAGCAAACAGGA
rnacentral:rRNA from 1 species